rnacentral:rRNA from 1 species
CCUACGGGAGGCAGCAGUGAGGAAUAUUGGUCAAUGGGCUUACGCCUGAACCAGCCAAGUCGCGUGAGGGAAGACUGCCCUAUGGAUUGUAAACCUCUUUUGUCGGGGAGCAAAAGACGCCACGCGUGGCGUUCCGAGAGUACCCGAAGAAAAAGCAUCGGCUAACUCCGUGCCAGCAGCCGCGGUAAUACGGAGGAUGCGAGCGUUAUCCGGAUGUAUUGGGUUUAAAGGGUGCGCAGGCGGAAGAUCAAGUCAGCGGUAAAAUUGAGAGGCUCAACCUCUUCGAGCCGUUGAAACUGGUUUUCUUGAGUGAGUGAGAAGUAUGCGGAAUGCGUGGUGUAGCGGUGAAAUGCAUAGAUAUCACGCAGAACUCCGAUUGCGAAGGCAGCAUACCGGCGCUCAACUGACGCUCAUGCACGAAAGUGUGGGUAUCGAACAGGAUUAGAUACCCCUGUAGUC